GCACAAGGAGUCUAGCGUGUGCGCGAGUCAUUGGGUGUAAAACCUAAAGGCGCAAUGAAAGUGUCAGAGUUAGCCUAGCGCUUUCUCUGUGGGAGGAUGGGUAUCCGGCUUUUUAUUAGGCCGGUGCUCCGCACUCCCGGGGCGUUUCAUUCUCUUUUAGAGGCGAAACGCACCAGGAGCGCACACGCUGGUAUCCGAAAGAUGGUGAACUAUGCCUGGCCAGGACGAAGCCAGGGGAAACCCUGGUGGAGGUCCGAAGCGAUUCUGACGUGCAAAUCGAUCGUCUGAGCUGGGUAUAGGGGCGAAAGACCAAUCGAACCAUCUAGUAGCUGGUUCCCUCUGAAGUUUCCCUCAGGAUAGCUGGCUCUCAGGUAUGAGACGAGUCUCAUCCGGUAGAGCGAAUGAUUAGAGGUGAUGGGGUCGAAACGACUUCAACCUAUUCUCAAACUCCCAAUAGAUGAGAGCCCCGGCUUGCUUGAAAGUGAAGCCGCGGGAUUUUAGAUCAGAGAAGCCAAGUGGGCCAAUUUUGGUAA
rnacentral:rRNA from 1 species